rnacentral:lncRNA from 1 species
AGAAACUGAAAGCGAAGAGCAGAACGUGAGGAGUGCAGCUGUGAGAGAUGAAGUUAAAAGACAGAUGAAUCAGAAAAGCCUAGUAAUCCAUGAACAUGAAGAAUUUUACUAAAAUGAGGGGAAGAUGGGUGCAGAGGAAGGGGAAAGUCAGUGAUUGGGAACCUGUGUUACGACUAUUGGGAAAGAGUCUAAGUUGGUGAAGGGUCUGAGAUUACCACACUUUCAAGAUGACAAGUCGGCCUGCCACACAUUCAAGUAUGCUGGCAGAAGGCUCAAGAGUCCUGGAUCCUGGAUGAAUGAGCUAUGACGAUGUGGAUGGCUGGAUGUCAGGAGAAGAUGAUGUCAGUGUUUGGGGAUCCUCAAUAGUUGAAGGUUUUUGUUUUGUUUUGUUUUGUUUUUGCCAAAAACUUUUGGAAGAGCAUUGUAAUAGAAUGUUAUUGUCUCUUUCUUUUUAACUCAUUAAAGUGUUGCCACAGAUGUUGUAAAAAAAAAAAAAAAAAAAAAAAAAAAAAAGAGUCCUGGAUCAGAGCCAAAGGAUUUUACCACUCAUAGAACAGCAAGCAGCCUAAGCAUGAUGUUGGUGUCAUUUCCCCUUGUCCCCAAGUCAAGCAGGUGAUGCAGAUGGGCUCGAAUGGAUGCCUGCAGAAGCAGUGGACUGCAUUCCAGGAAAGGAAUACUGAGCUUAGGGAACCUGAAUCUUUUAUAAGAGGCAGAAAGCAAAGCUGCCCUUUGUUCCAGAGUUGAGAACAAAAGGCAGUCAGUGCCUCUGCUGACAAAAUGUAUAGAAAUAUGAGACACAGAGAGAACUGUCGCCCAACAGAGGAACUGUCCCGCAGA